AUGCACGCUGGCGGCGUGCCUCAUCCAUGCAAGUCGAGCGAACAGACGAGGAGCUUGCUCCUCUGACGUUAGCGGCGGACGGGUGAGUAACACGUGGAUAACCUACCUAUAAGACUGGGAUAACUUCGGGAAACCGGAGCUAAUACCGGAUAAUAUAUUGAACCGCAUGGUUCAAUAGUGAAAGACGGUUUUGCUGUCACUUAUAGAUGGAUCCGCGCCGCAUUAGCUAGUUGGUAAGGUAACGGCUUACCAAGGCGACGAUGCGUAGCCGACCUGAGAGGGUGAUCGGCCACACUGGAACUGAGACACGGUCCAGACUCCUACGGGAGGCAGCAGUAGGGAAUCUUCCGCAAUGGGCGAAAGCCUGACGGAGCAACGCCGCGUGAGUGAUGAAGGUCUUCGGAUCGUAAAACUCUGUUAUUAGGGAAGAACAAAUGUGUAAGUAACUAUGCACGUCUUGACGGUACCUAAUCAGAAAGCCACGGCUAACUACGU
rnacentral:rRNA from 1 species